rnacentral:rRNA from 1 species
UACGUAGGGAGCAAGCGUUGUCCGGAAUCAUUGGGCGUAAAGCGCGCGUAGGCGGCUCGAUCAGUCUGUUGUGAAAGUCAAAGGCUCAACCUUUGAAUGCCGAUGGAUACUGUCGAGCUAGAGUCCGGAAGAGGCGGGUGGAAUUCCGUGGUGUAGCGGUGGAAUGCGCAGAGUAUCAGGAGGAACACCAACGGCGAAGGCAGCCCGCUGGGACGGUACUGACGCUAAGGCGCGAAAGCGUGGGGAGCGACAGG